rfam:Camelus ferus unplaced genomic scaffold scaffold184, whole genome shotgun sequence.
GAGGGUAUAACUCAGUGGUAGAGUGCAUGCUUAGCUUGUAUGAGGUCCUGGGUUCAAUCCCCAUUACCUCCU